GCUCCCUUCGGCGGCACAUAUACUAAAAUUGGAACAAUACCGAGAUUAGCAUGGCCCCUGGGGCAAGGGUGACACGCAAGCCAGCAGAUUCUCCCCAUGGUCUG